GCUGAGAGUUUGGAACCUGGCUCAGGAUGAACGCUGGCGGCGUGCUUAACACAUGCAAGUCGAACGGUGAAGCCCAGCUUGCUGGGUGGAUCAGUGGCGAACGGGUGAGUAACACGUGAGCAACCUGCCCCUGACUCUGGGAUAAGCGCUGGAAACGGCGUCUAAUACUGGAUACGAACCGCGACCGCAUGGUCAGUGGUUGGAAAGAAUUUCGGUUGGGGAUGGGCUCGCGGCCUAUCAGCUUGUUGGUGAGGUAAUGGCUCACCAAGGCGUCGACGGGUAGCCGGCCUGAGAGGGUGACCGGCCACACUGGGACUGAGACACGGCCCAGACUCCUACGGGAGGCAGCAGUGGGGAAUAUUGCACAAUGGGCGCAAGCCUGAUGCAGCAACGCCGCGUGAGGGAUGACGGCCUUCGGGUUGUAAACCUCUUUUAGCAGGGAAGAAGCGAAAGUGACGGUACCUGCAGAAAAAGCGCCGGCUAACUACGUGCCAGCAGCCGCGGUAAUACGUAGGGCGCAAGCGUUAUCCGGGAAUUAUUGGGCGUAAAGAGCUCGUAGGCGGUUUGUCGCGUCUGCUGUGAAAUCCCGAGGCUCAACCUCGGGCCUGCAGUGGGUACGGGCAGACUAGAGUGCGGUAGGGGAGAUUGGAAUUCCUGGUGUAGCGGUGGAAUGCGCAGAUAUCAGGAGGAACACCGAUGGCGAAAGCAGAUCUCUGGGCCGUAACUGACGCUGAGGAGCGAAAGGGUGGGGAGCAAACAGGCUUAGAUACCCUGGUAGUCCACCCCGUAAACGUUGGGAACUAGUUGUGGGGUCCAUUCCACGGAUUCCGUGACGCAGCUAACGCAUUAAGUUCCCCGCCUGGGGAGUACGGCCGCAAGGCUAAAACUCAAAGGAAUUGACGGGGACCCGCACAAGCGGCGGAGCAUGCGGAUUAAUUCGAUGCAACGCGAAGAACCUUACCAAGGCUUGACAUAUACGAGAACGGGCCAGAAAUGGUCAACUCUUUGGACACUCGUAAACAGGUGGUGCAUGGUUGUCGUCAGCUCGUGUCGUGAGAUGUUGGGUUAAGUCCCGCAACGAGCGCAACCCUCGUUCUAUGUUGCCAGCACGUAAUGGUGGGAACUCAUGGGAUACUGCCGGGGUCAACUCGGAGGAAGGUGGGGAUGACGUCAAAUCAUCAUGCCCCUUAUGUCUUGGGCUUCACGCAUGCUACAAUGGCCGGUACAAAGGGCUGCAAUACCGCGAGGUGGAGCGAAUCCCAAAAAGCCGGUCCCAGUUCGGAUUGAGGUCUGCAACUCGACCUCAUGAAGUCGGAGUCGCUAGUAAUCGCAGAUCA
rnacentral:rRNA from 1 species